CACAUCCUCAAAAUAAUUUCCGUUUCCGUUUACAGAGCGGCUCUCAUCGAGUAUAUACUUGGCUCAAUAACAUAAUCUACAGUCUUUUUCAAUAAAACAUUUCGAUAUCUAGCUGCUAAAAUGUUUUUGACCAGAUCAGAAUACGACCGUGGUGUAAAUACUUUUUCUCCUGAAGGUCGUCUGUUUCAAGUGGAAUAUGCAAUCGAAGCUAUAAAAUUGGGCUCAACAGCUAUAGGAAUACAAACGGCCGAGGGUGUUGUUUUAGCCGUUGAAAAAAGAGUAACUUCUCCACUCAUAGAAGCUAACAGCAUUGAAAAGAUUAUGGAAGUUGACACUCAUAUCGGUUGUGCAAUGAGUGGACUUAUCGCUGACUCCAGAACAAUGAUAGACAGAGCAAGAUUGGAAGCUCAAAACCACUGGUUUACUUACAAUGAGAGAAUGAGUGUAGAAAGUGUUACUCAAGCAGUUAGCAAUCUGGCAUUAGCUUUUGGAGAUGAUGACGCGGAUCCUGGUGCAAUGAGUCGACCAUUCGGGGUAGCUCUAUUGUUUGCCGGUGUAGAUGAAAAAGGACCACAACUGUUCCAUAUGGAUCCAUCGGGAACGUUCAUUCAGUACGAUGCAAAGGCGAUUGGAUCCGGUUCGGAAGGCGCUCAACAAGCGUUGCAAGACGUCUACCAUAAAUCAAUGACCUUGAAAGAAGCUUGUAAACAGGCUCUUACCAUCCUUAAGCAAGUAAUGGAAGAAAAAUUAAAUGAAACCAACGUUGAGAUGGCGGUCGUAACCCCUGAAAAGAUGUUUCAAAUGUUUUCAAAGGAUGAGCUUCAGGACGUUAUAAAAGAGUUGUAGGUUUCUUGAUUGCCCUAUACAUCAAUGACCUUGGUAAAUAAAAUUUGAAUAUGUAAAACAUAUGGAAUAGUUUCGUUGAUUUGGCUAUUAGUUUUAUAUUGACAGCUAUAUCUUCGUUGAAGGCUACUUUGAAGGGAAACGAUAUUAGCUAUCAGCUAAUCAUGGCAAGUAGGCUUUGGGACCGCUUCCAUGUGGCAUUACGAUAGUGGAGUAAAUAAAAUCGUUGGUUCCUUUCGCUUUUCAAUAUAACGUCAAACGUUUUACUGCUGAAUUGACAACAACCUAUCCGGUUGCAUAGAAAUGAUGCAUCCAAUAUAAUAAACAAACGACUGUGUCAGAGUAGAGCAGAAAGAAAUUGCUCUUUCAGUAGCCCCUUUCGAUGUUUAAUGUAUUAUUUUGCCAUGGGCAAUCUGCAAUUUUUUACCAAACCUAAAAUGUGCUAAAAUUGAUGUCAAACCACUAUACUAUCAAUUUACUGCCAUGGCUAUUGAUUUCACCGCUACUUCUCUGAGUCUUCUUCCUUUAUAGGUACCGGUUGACCUUUGUAGAAAGACGUUUCAGAGAAGAGAAACCACAGUUUACCAGCCCAAAGUAGAG
rnacentral:misc_RNA from 1 species